rnacentral:rRNA from 1 species
CAAAUCAGGUAGGACUACCCGCUGAACUUAAGCAUAUCAAUAAGCGGAGGAAAAGAAACUAACAAGGAUUCCCCUAGUAACUGCGAGUGAAGCGGGAAAAGCUCAAAUUUGUAAUCUGGCGGUCUUUGGCCGUCCGAAUUGUAAACUAGAGAAGUGCUAUCCGCGCUGGACCGUGUACAAGUCCCCUGGAAUGGGGCGUCAUAGAGGGUGAGAAUCCCGUCUUUGACACGGACUACCAGGGCUUUGUGAUGUGCUCUCAACGAGUCGAGUUGUUUGGGAAUGCAGCUCAAAAUGGGUGGUAAAUUCCAUCUAAAGCUAAAUAUUGGCGAGAGACCGAUAGCGAACAAGUACCGUGAGGGAAAGAUGAAAAGAACUUUGGAAAGAGAGUUAAACAGUACGUGAAAUUGCUGAAAGGGAAACGCUUGAAGUCAGUCGCGUUGGCUAGGGAUCAACCUUGCUUUUGCCUGGUGUACUUCCUUGUCGACGGGUCAGCAUCAGUUUUGGCUGCUGGAUAAAGAUCAGAGGAAUGUGGCAUCUUCGGAUGUGUUAUAGCCUUUGGUCAGAUACAGUGGCUGGGACUGAGGAACUCAGCACGCGCAAGCUGUGCUUAGGAUGC